GACGAACCGAGCGAACGUUGUUCGGAAUCACUGGGCUUAAGGGGCGCGUAGGCGGGCGAUCAAGUCGGUGGUGAAAUCCUACAGCUUAACUGUAGAACUGCCUCCGAUACUGGUUGUCUCGAGGAAGGUAGGGGCGUGCGGAACAGUUGGUGGAGCGGUGAAAUGCGUUGAUAUCAACUGGAACUCCGGUGGCGAAGGCGGCACGCUGGACCUUUUCUGACGCUGAGGCGCGAAAGCCAGGGGAGCAAAGCGGGG
rnacentral:rRNA from 1 species